rnacentral:tRNA from 1 species
AUUUAAGUAGUUUAAAUUAAAACAUUGAUUUGUGGAAUCAAUAAUAUAAAAUUUUUAUCUUAGAUU